rnacentral:rRNA from 1 species
GUGCAGCAGUCGCGAAUCCUUCGCAAUGCGGGAAACCGCGACGAGGGGACUCCCAGUGCCUACGCUCAGCGUAGGCUGUUCCCGAGCCUAGAAAGCUCGGGGAGUAAGGGCUGGGUAAGACGGGUGCCAGCCGCCGCGGUAAUACCCGCAGCCCGAGUGGUGGCCACUAUUAUUGGGCCUAAAGCGUCCGUAGCCGGCCCGGUAAAUGCCUGGGUAAAUCGUGAGGCCUAACCUCACGAAUUCCGGGUAGACUGCCGGGCUAGGGGACCGGAGGAGGGAGAGGGGUACUCCGAGGGGUAGGGGUGAAAUCCUGUAAUCCCUGGAGGACCACCGGUGGCGAAGGCGCUCUCCUAGGACGGGUCCGACGGUGAGGGACGAAAGCCAGGGGAGCGAACCGGAUUAGAUACCCCGGUAGU